GGUGCAGACUCUCAGGUCAGAUGGUGAGGGCUGAUUGCGGGAGGUGGACAAGAAGUCUGGCCUAAUGACUAAGGACAGCUAACGCCUAACUCCGUUCCUCAUCACUCCACCUGGGUAAGAGCAUUUGGUGCAACGAGCCAGUUUCGAGCCUGUGAAGGACCGUGGGGCAAGGUGACCGAUGCCGCUACCUCUUUGUCAUUCAGUAGCCCUCUUUACCUGUUUUGGCCUCGCUGCUAGGGCUGUCGCCGAGCUUACACGGACUCCAGAAGCAGCGGAACUGGCAACACCUUGGUGCCCUAGACGGAAACCUCAGUCCCGACUGAAGCGUAUUCAUCACCAACACUGGGAUAGCUGCAGCUAGGGCCACACAAUAAAAAUAGCCCAGGACGGCACUGGCUAUCCGCUGCCCCUUCAGCUAUAGAAUUCCUGUCCUUAAUCGCUUUUAGUUCUGUAACUGCUUGUGGAAACAGCUGAUUACUGGACAGGUGGGAGUACGAAAGGCGUUUAGUAAGACUGCAAAUCUGAUGUGAACUGGUAGGACGCAGAGUGUAUGGCAUAGUCAAGAAAGAAGUCAACGCCAGGCGAGGUGCUAUGGCUAAGGGAUUAAUCUUUUGUGUCCCAACUAUGUUGCUCUGACGGUUCCACUUGCACUACUGGUUUUUACUUCAUCGUUAAUCUCUGCUCUGGCCGAUAACAGCCUGCAUGAAAACAUCACCAGUUUUCAAGUUUUUCUCAGGAUGAACAGUACAUAGAAAAGUGAGCCUGAAUGCUGAGAUCCUGAGACCGUGCUGCGGCGCCUGGGAAUUCAUAGAGCAGCUUUUAAGGGGCCACCACUUCUCGCAUCGUGUGCCAUGCAAGUAAACCUACCCUAUCCUGAGACCCUUGCCUGGGGUGACUGGAAGAGCUGCUUCUGUAGAAUCCUGGGCCAGACCAUCUAUCUGGACGAAUAGGAGAAAAGCCUAGUUGUUGUCUCCUGCAAGAUGUAUUCAGUUGUAAUUUCGCCUUUGUUCCUUAAUCUGUUAGUAUGGUAUAUUACAUCGAUUAAUAUUUCAUAUUAAAUCAGUCAUGAAUUCCCA
rnacentral:lncRNA from 1 species